GGUAGUAACCUAUUUCUUCAAUAGUGGUUAGCGUGUCGUUCUUAUAAUGCGAAAGUCGCGAGUUCAAGUCUCGCCAGGAUCA
rnacentral:tRNA from 1 species